ensembl:lncRNA
CCUCAUCACAAAUGCUGGAAGCCCACCAAUCAAAACCUGUCCUGCCAGCAUUUCCAUUUGCCAGCCUGUUCCCCCUGAUCUCUUAAAUUUUGCCCCAGAUCCUGAAUCGGGGAGACAGAUCUGAGGGCACAUGCCCCCUGUCUCUUUUCCCAAAGGCUGAUGCUGUUAUCAACUGGCCAUUUACGCGCAUCGGGCAAGACAGCCCCAAUUUUGUGCAGUAACAGCAGGUUUACACAGAAGGGAGCGUCGACACCGGACUCACAGAGCAAGCUGAAGUCUGAGGCUCUGGAUCAGAGUUUUGGAAGAAGGGGUUGAACACAAGUGGAACUGGUCUAGUCCAGGGCUUCUGAACGCUACAUUUUGGAGGAAGGCCAUCUUGGGAAGUUCCAAAGUACUUUGGAAAAGAUUAUGUUGAAAGGAAUUGGCUCACGUGGUUAUGGAGGCCGAGAAGUCCCACAGUCUGCCAUCUGCAAGCUGGAGAAUCAGGAAGGCUGGUUCUGAACCCAAAGACCUGAGAACUGGGAGAGUCGAUGUCUGAAGGCAGGAGAAAACGGAUGUCCCAUCUCAGAAAUACCCUCAUGGACAAAUCCAGAAAUAAUGUUGUACCAGCUAUAUGGACAUCCCUUAGCCCAGUCAAGUUGACAAUAAAAUUAAGCAUCACACAUGGCAAGAGGAAGUUUAUUAGGGGCUUCAGAUGUUUCGGCAGCAUGUUUUCAGGGAGCGAACGCAUCUUGGAAGUUUCUUUACUGAAUGCAAUUCAGAAGAGUCUCCAAGCACCAUGUGUGAGAGAACAUGACAGAAUAGAAACUGAUUAUGCAAAAUGUGCGAGAGAGAACUGCAGCUCUUGGUGACAUGUGGCAGCCUCGCUGGGAAAGGAGAGCUGUGGAACUCCGGGUACUGUCUCAAGCUUACUGCUGCCUGUCACAAGCUGAAUGGCAGGAGAGGGUUAAAAUACGAGUUUGUGGGCUGUUGCUCACGGCCUUCUGAGGCAUUCGCAUGCUGCACACACGUGCAGGAAGUUAUCCUGAGAGACCACGCUCAGCUGCAUUCUCACAUAGAGCAGGAGCUGCUGCCUCCAAGAGAAGAGCAGAACACUGCCAACCCAUGGACCUACAGGAGGGGAACCAGGAGAGUAAAUACCUGAAGCUCUUUCGUCACAGCCUUCCAUCUCCUACCAGAGCCUCCCAUUGGCUAAACCCAACUGAGAGACUGAGGAUAAGGGAGCCCAGUAGAAGUCCAUAGCGGACAGCCUCUGAGCCCCUGAGCAGAUUGGAGAAGGAUGGAAAAUGGAUCUGGAGAGCAAACAGAGAAUAUUUAACAUAGACAACAAGAAAUGCUUUCAAUUUAUUAAUAUAG